rnacentral:rRNA from 1 species
UGGGGGAUAUUGCGCAAUGGGGGAAACCCUGACGCAGCAACGCCGCGUGAAGGAUGAAGGUCUUCGGAUUGUAAACUUUUGUCUUUGGGGAAGAAUAAAUGACGGUACCCAAGGAGGAAGCUCCGGCUAACUACGUGCCAGCAGCCGCGGUAAUACGUAGGGAGCAAGCGUUGUCCGGAUUUACUGGGUGUAAAGGGCGUGUAGGCGGGUAGAUAAGUCAGAUGUGAAAUCUGGGAGCUCAACUCCCAAACUGCAUUUGAAACUGUCUAUCUUGAGUGGUGGAGAGGAAAGCGGAAUUCCUAGUGUAGCGGUGAAAUGCGUAGAUAUUAGGAGGAACACCAGUGGCGAAGGCGGCUUUCUGGACACUAACUGACGCUGAGGCGCGAAAGCGUGGGGAGCAAACA